ensembl:lncRNA
CUUCUGCACGCUGGGUUUUAUAUCGCCUGGAGUAUUAAGGGAUGAAGUCAUGCAGAAGGGCUGUUUUUAUUCCCCAUCGAAUUGGCAUCGCUGUGAGCGGUGACAUAAGCACAGGACAAUGCUGAUGGACUGCUGUGGAUAAAUGAUGUUCGUUCUGCACCUUGAGGGUGGGAUGCUGCCUUGCACAGGGGUCAUGUCUUCCUCCACAUCCAGUACCGAUGGGGCUGUAUGGAACACCACACCAAUGGACUGCUGUGCCAACAACAUGUUGGGUUGGAGGUAUGCAAUUGCCAUCUGGGUACAGUCCCUGUGGCCAAACCCAAUGGCGAUGUAGGACACAAGGGUGGCUGCCCAUCGCCGCUCCCUCCGGAAAGGAGCCAGACAGGAGAGAAAUCACUGCUGUCCAUGCCCCAAAAUCAAGAUGUGAAGUGGACAAGGCUCUGUUCUGCUGUUCCCUCUGCUGAGAUGUCAGAAGGACUCCCCAGGCAUCCAUCCACACUGAACACCUCCAUGAGACCUCUCUGCCCCAGGAAGCAGGAAGAUGCCUUUAUAUGUCCCCUUUUAGCAGCUGCUGCAAACUUCUUUUAUGCUAAAGCACGUGGAGCCGCGUUGAUUUAUUUAGCAGCGUCUCUGGAGGCUUCUUCAAGGUUAAGAUGUAGACAUCGCAUGUUAGGCUGGGCUGAAUGCUGGCAGGAAAAGACAUUUGGCUCUUCUAAUUGGAAAAACACGCCGCUUUUAUCACCCCGAGGCCAAGCCUCUACCACAGCCACACAGCAUAGGGGAACACAGCGGCUCAGCCCUGGGUCCCCAGAAAGGAGCACCGUCCCCUCACUGCCCUCCAGGUCAGCCCCGGUGGUGCACCCAUCCCUGCUGAGUGCUCAGCACCGGUCACGGAGCUGUCAGCCACGCUGUGCCUCAGUUUCCCCACUGCUGCUGGCUGCCAUGGGCUGCGUGCUGAGUUUCGGCGCAGUGUGUCUAAGAAGCCCCUUCCCCAUCCAUCUCGGUGUUCCCACUGCACAACACGGAGCACACCCACUGAUGAAGGCACACAGCAUCCUCAUCUGGCCGGGCUGCCUCAGCCACGUCGGUACUCAGAGCUACAGAUACAGAGGAAAAAAGCGAUUGCAAAGCAGAAAGGACCGUUUUGGGGGUACAUUUGGCAGUGAAAUCAGAGCUCGGGCUGGGAACCAGCAGGACAGCCUCCCUGCAGCCUCCCUGCGAUGCUCUCCAUGCACCGAACCCCGCACCACUCCUUCCUACACCAUCCCCCCGCUCACACCAAUGACUUUUAUUUUCGUACACGAAAAAGAAAACGCACAACGGAUUGGGAGCGUUAUUUUUCUGAACGCCACUUCGAAGAGUAAAAAUCUGAAAGCGUAAAUCCGGAGCAUCGUGGCAAAAUCCGGGCUCGGUUUAAAAACUAAAAGGGUUCUGCGAUUGUUUCUUUUCGUUUGUGAAAUAAUUCAACCCUCACCAAUAUUCCGGGCAGACGAGUGUUCGUUCGCCGUUUAAUCUCAGCGGUCGCACAACGAACCGAGAUUCCGAGGGGGUGAGAGAGUUCGGCGCAACGUAACUAUCAAAUAUCCCCCAAAGACUUAAAGCAAACCACACGUGGCUGCUUCUCUCGCUGCCCCACUGCCCGCAGCCAUCGGUGCAGGACGGAGGACCGCAGCGCUUCGCAGUGCCAUUAAGCAUUCGUUAAAACAUUUACUCGAUGGG